CGAGCCCGCCACUGACGCUGAGGCACGAAAGCGUGGGUAUCGAACAGGAUUAGAUACCCUGGUAGUCCACGCGGUAAACGAUGAUAACUGGCUGUUCGCUGCGAUUGCGCGGUGAGCGGCUGAGCGAAAGCGUUAAGUUAUCCACCUGGGGAGUACGCCGGCAACGGUGAAACUCAAAGGAAUUGACGGGGGCCCGCACAAGCGGAGGAACAUGUGGUUUAAUUCGAUGAUACGCGAGGAACCUUACCCGGGCUCAAACGGUGCGUGACGGCGCGUGAAAGCGCGCUUUCGCAAGACACGCUCCGAGGUGCUGCAUGGUUGUCGUCAGCUCGUGCCGUGAGGUGUCGGCUUAAGUGCCAUAACGAGCGCAACCCCCAUCCCCAGUUGCCAGCGGGUGAAGCCGGGCCCUCUGGGGAGACUGCCGGCGCAAGCUGCGAGGAAGGCGGGGAUGACGUCAAAUCAGCACGGCCCUUACGUCCGGGGCGACACACGUGUUACAAUGGCGGGGCACAGCGGGAAGCCAGGCGGCGACGCCGAGCGGAUCCCGAAAACCCGUCUCAGUUCGGAUCGGAGUCUGCAACCCGACUCCGUGAAGCUGGA
rnacentral:rRNA from 1 species